rnacentral:lncRNA from 1 species
UAGAGUUUGUAAAUAACCCUUCCUUUUGCAGAUGUGUAAAUCUCAUGUCUGAGAAAUGAGGUACUUUGGCCAUGACACCUCUUUAUUCUUCUUCAUGAGUGUCCAGAUGAAGCGAGGCUCUGAGCAGGUUAUGUCUGUGCGGUGGGUCGUGGCCGUAGGACUGUAGCUCAGAACCACAGAAAUGUAGCUAGCUAUUUGGAAACAGAUUCACAGCCUUGGGCAUAAAGCAGGCAGUGGUGACGCUCAACUCUCUCUGUCCCAGGCAUAUGUAAGAUAGGCCUCAUAAUCAAGUACACCUGGUGGGAACAUGAGCUAAGUAAAAUCAGCACUAUUUAUUAGAUUUUUCUUUUUGUUUAAUGGGUCUUUUCUAGGACCAUGUAGGACUUUGGGGUAUAGGUGAGACUCAGGAGUGUAAGAUCUAUUCCCCAUAAGCUCUGUGUUCAUUCUCUAGUAUCUCUGGGGUGUCACUCAGCUAUCCCAUCCAUCCAUCCAUCCAUCCAUCCAUCCAUCCAUCCAUCCAUCCAUCCAUCCAUCCAUCCAUCCAGGCGUUCUUGUGCGGUUAAGGUACAGCUAGUAGGAGACUCUAGGAGCUUUAUUGGAGACAUUUGGUAGGCUUGCCUCUCUUUCUCCAUCUGCUGAAGGUGUGUGAGGUUUGGCUUUUGACCCUAACCCUCUGCACCCAUUAAAUCCCAGGUCAGAACUCAGAGCAGGGCAGCUCCUGGGGGACUAGGGCUGAGUGACUUGUGGGCAGAAUAUUCUCCAUACUUUGGGGCAAUCCUCACACAAUUAGUUUCUCUUUGGUCAUUUUGUCCCUGCCUGAGGUGAAGGACCCACAUGAAACUAGAAAUAAAACUCUAAGCACUCAAGAUAUGUUUUUUGUUUUUUGUUUUUGUUUUUGUUUUGUUUUGUUUGUUUGUUUGUUUGUUUGUUUGUUUUUUAAGCCAGGGCACCUUGAUCAACUUUUAAUUAGGGUUGUAAUUUCACAUGGGGCUUCUAAGAACGUUUUCUGUAGUUUUUGUUGUUGUUGUUGUUGGAAGAAUUGUAAUAUGAUUUUGCCCUUCUUCAUUGAAUACUACUUUUAACUCUCUCUUCCUGUUGUACAUUAUUCAUAAAUACAGAGAAAAGUAGGUUACAUAUAUAAAAAUUUAAAAAACAACCAACCAACUAACCAAAUGAACAAACCUUUACAAUUUUUUCUGGAUAGCCAAGUAAUUACAUAUUGCUAUUUCUUGGUGAUCCAACCCUGAGCUAAAUUAAAUCCUAGGGCAGAAGAUAUAAGACAGCAAAUAAAUGGUCGCAUACAUUUAUGAAAUGGGAGGGUGCAGCGUGCCCUGUAAAGCAUAAAAUUUACACACACUUCAAGGCUUCUCUAAGCCCUUUGCUCUGCCAUGACUGUGAUCCGUAGAGUCUUUUCGGGGGCACCUCCGGGUGACCUGAUAGGCUUCUUCCCAGCCUCUGUGUCUGGGCUCUGGGCUGAGAGAUGCCCUGGGGCAGAGUGGACUGAUGGCUCUGACUGGCCCUGCUCCCUAGGUCAACCCAGGGCUCAGUGUCCGCCCCUCAUCAAUCUAACCCUGGGAAGGGAAGGAGCAGGAAUGCGUAUCUGUUGUCCAAGCUCAGCUCAAGAGGGCCAGGCUGGGGAGUGGCAGCUUGGCUCUUUUCUGAGGAUGGGAUUCUCUUGCUAGGACCAGGAUUUCUGCAGCUCAAGACCAGAGACCAAGAUCAUUAACCCCAUUUGACAAGACCAAUAUGCUGUGAACCAAGUGCUACUGUGUCACUUGCUAAUUGUUUUUCUUUUAAUAUUCCAUUUCUGUUUUCUUCUUGGUGUUCGGGAUGGAACCUGGUGUCCUGAGCAUACCUACAUGUUCAGUGACCUCUUUAUCUUUAGGCAAUGCGUCCAUAUGUGAUAUAUGUGAUAUAUGUAGUAUAUGUGAUACUGUUCUAGGAGUAUACAGGCAGAUAAUUCUUCAAAAAUUGUAAUCUUGUUCUACAUUCUGUUUUUUGUAAUUGAAGCAUUUAUAAUGAAUUAUAAAGAGUGUGUGUGUG